GUAGGGAAUCUUCGGCAAUGGGGGCAACCCUGACCGAGCAACGCCGCGUGAGUGAAGAAGGUUUUCGGAUCGUAAAGCUCUGUUGUAAGUCAAGAACGGGUGUGAGAGUGGAAAGUUCACACUGUGACGGUAGCUUACCAGAAAGGGACGGCUAACUACGUGCCAGCAGCCGCGGUAAUACGUAGGUCCCGAGCGUUGUCCGGAUUUAUUGGGGCGUAAAGCGAGCGCAGGCGGUUUGAUAAGUC
rnacentral:rRNA from 1 species